rnacentral:lncRNA from 10 species
CAGAUGCAAACCAAGGAGGCUGGAAGAUAAGAGCAGAGCCAUCAGGACACGAGCCCCUCGCGGGUAUGAAACAGGAGUCGUGGGAGCAAAUUAGUAGGUGCACUGCAUGGAGGGACGGAAGGGGCAGGGAGGAGCAUCUGAAUGUAAGAUUUCAGAGAAGCUCAUUUUGUCAGCAUUUCAGAGCUUCCUGUGUGCAGCAUGGAUCUAAAGCUGGUGGAUGCAGGGGGGUGAACAAGACAACAUCUUCACUUCCUGCAUGCUGAUGGCAGAAGUGAGACAUCAGCGAAGAAACAUCACGAUCACCAAAUUACGAUGAACACCAUGGAGGAAACAAAGGACACUGUGACACCAAGGAAGGAAGGGAGGUUACUUUUCAUAGUGGCUGUAAAUAGAACUGAAGGCUGAAAAACAGCUGUUAAAAUGGCUUGUUUGUUUGAAGAUGAAUGAGAGUACACAAUAAAAGGAAAAAAAUUUGGACACAGACACACACAGAGGGAUGACCACGUGGAGAUGCAGGGAGAGGAUAGCAGCUACAGGCCAGGGCGAGA